rnacentral:lncRNA from 1 species
UUUGAAAAGACCAUAAGUAACUAUUGGUAUAUAUAAGGAGUAAUAUGUAAAUUUUACACUAAAUUAGUUACACUGCUCAUCGCAAAAAAAACUCUAACAUUCAGCAAAGGUUAUAUAGAAAUGUCAACAAGCUGCAAGAAUAUAAGAAAAUUAAUUAGGAAAGCUUUGAUAUGCAUUAACCAAGAAUUCAAAUCUAUUUCAAAACACAGAAAUUUGAGGACAAGAGAUAGUAAAAAAUUGAGAAAUUCUCC